rnacentral:tRNA from 1 species
GCCUAGUUAGCUUGGUUGGUAGUGCAUGCGUCUGCCUUGUAAGCGCUAGGCCGCGGGUUCGAUUCCCGCCCGGGGCG